rnacentral:misc_RNA from 1 species
UUUCCGUUGGUGAACCUGCGGAAGGAUCAUUACCGAUUUAUCCACUCCCAUACCCCUGUGCACCUUCCUGGGCGUUGCCUCAACUUUGCGCCCCCAUCUCCCCUCUCUCUGCCCUACACCCGCCUCCCUCCUGUUUCCCCAACCUCUUUCUUUUAACCGUCUCAUUCUCUCUAAACCCCCCAUACUCCAAAUCGAUCAAAACUUUCAACAACGAAACUCUUGUCUCUGGCAUCUAUGAAGACCCCACCAGAUCGGAACAGCCCCCUCCUGACCUCCAGC